rnacentral:rRNA from 1 species
UACAGAGGGUGCGAGCGUUAAUCGGAAUUACUGGGCGUAAAGCGCACGUAGGCGGCUUUGCAAGUCGGUUGUGAAAUCCCCGGGCUCAACCUGGGAACUGCAUCCGAGACUGCAUUGCUAGAGUAUGGGAGAGGAAAGCGGAAUUUCUGGUGUAGCAGUGAAAUGCGUAGAUACCAGAAGGAACAUCAGUGGCGAAGGCGGCUUUCUGGACCAAUACUGACGAUCAGGUGCGAAAGCGUGGGGAGCAAACAGG